rnacentral:rRNA from 1 species
GACAGAGGGUGCAAACGUUGUUCGGAAUUACUGGGCGUAAAGCGCGUGUAGGCGGCUUUGCAAGUCGGGUGUGAAAUCCCACGGCUCAACCGUGGAAGUGCACUCGAAACUGCAAGGCUAGAGUCCUGGAGAGGAAGGUGGAAUGCUUGGUGUAGAGGUGAAAUUCGUAGAUAUCAAGCGGAACACCGGUGGCGAAGGCGGCCUUCUGGACAGUGACUGACGCUGAGACGCGAAAAGCGUGGG